CCAAACCUCUCCUUAGACAGAACUUUCUAGACAUUGUCAAUAAUGUUAUCUGAUAAUAUUAUUCACAUAAUAUGAAUUAUUGAUCUGAUAAUGGAAAUAUUGUGCAGUGACAACAAUAAUAAUAUAAAUAUCAACGCAGCAAUUAUUGAAUCAAUAAAAUAAAAUAAUGAACAGUAAUUAUUGUAACAAUUAUUGAGUAGUGCCUUUUUACGUACGAAUCAAUAAUUCAACAAUACUGUGCAAUACCGUGUGCUACUGUGCAAUCACGCAUAUUACUGUAUUUUAACCACCAAGUAACCC
rnacentral:lncRNA from 1 species